rnacentral:sRNA from 1 species
CGACCGCCGGCUCUGCCGGCUAAGGCCAUACGGACAGCCGGGUCGAAUGCCGA